AAGUCGUAACAAGGUUUCCGUAGGUGAACCUGCGGAAGGAUCAUUAUCAAGAACGUGCUAGCCUUGAUUGGCAGUGGUUAUGUUCAACCCUUUGUGAACCAAAAAAACCUUUAGCUUCGGUAGCUGGGUUGCGGAAACGCUGCCUGUCAGUCUGCCGUUAGCACCUUUACAUAAACUUGCUUUAGAAAAUAUUGUCUGAAUCAAAAAUUUCGAAUGAAAUUAAAACUUUCAACAACGGAUCUCUUGGUUCUC
rnacentral:misc_RNA from 1 species